GACGAACGCUGGCGGCGUGCCUAAUACAUGCAAGUCGAGCGAAGCGGCGGAUGGGUGAGUAACGCGUGGGUAACCUGCCCUUAAGUCUGGGAUACCAUUUGGAAACAGAUGCUAAUACCGGAUACUAAAGGAUGGACCUGCGAUGCAUUAGCUAGUUGGUAAGGUAACGGCUUACCAAGGCGAUGAUGCAUAGCCGAGUUGAGAGACUGAUCGGCCACAUUGGGACUGAGACACGGUCCAGACUCCUACGGGAGGCAGCAGUGGGGAAUAUUGCACAAUGGGCGAAAGCCUGAUGCAGCCAUGCCGCGUGAAUGAAGAAGGUCUUCGGGUUGUAAAGUACUGUCGUCGAGGAAGCGGUACUCGAAGAAGAAGUAACGGCUAACUCCGUGCCAGCAGCCGCGGUAAUAC
rnacentral:rRNA from 1 species